CUCCUGCCUCAGCCUCCCAUGUAGCUGGAAUUACAGGAUGCUGGUGAUUUCCAGGAAGUGACCUCACAAUGACUCAAGCUACCACUUACUGUUGAUUGUGGUGAAAUGCCAGGUGAAGCGUAUGCCCUGCGAGCUUAGGGGUGCUACAGUUGACCACUGCCACAGUAAAGAUGACUCUGAAGAAUGGCAUGGGAUGGAUCCUUUCGAAUGCACUUGAGCAGCGGUCUCCAACCAAAGGGCCAUAGAACCGGAGAUGGACAGUGUCGUUGCAGGAAAACAAGCUCAGAGAUCCCACUGAGUCUACAUUAUACUGGAUCUACCAUGAAAGACUUCUGAAUCCAGGAAGAGAGACUGACUGGGCAACAUGUUAUUCAGGAGAUGAGGUCUCACCCUGUCACCCAGGCUGGAGUACAGU